rnacentral:lncRNA from 1 species
UCUCCCACGGAAAGCCACGCCUACCCCAGGCCCCUCCUUCGUUCCCUCCCGAGGGGUUGGCUCUGAUGACCUGGGCAGGGACUCUGCUUCGCAGACGCAGUGUCGAUCUAAUCUUGAGCGCAAGUUUCGUUUUUGGAGAUUGUCAAGGUGACACCCUCGGGGACUCCGUUUCCUUUUACAGUCUCCUGCCGACAUAUUGUUCCCUGUUGAACACCAGAGAUCCUAACUGUGGUCUGGGCUAUAGACUCUGAUGGGGAAUCUUCAGCUAUUCUCUGCUUAAUGAAGGAGAUUUUGAACAUACACGGACUCCAAUUCAGAAGCUGUUCUGUGAAGGAGAGCGAGCAGGAAGAUGAAGAAAGCCUGGAACCGAGUACACGCCACAGGAAGCAUGCUGACGUUUUCCGCAGUGCUUGUGAAAGGUCUAUUUCCAAACAAAAGAUUCAGCCUUUCUGCCGCUUACCUGAGGACCUUGAACUGGGUCAUGUGGUCACCUCCACCUACUGGGAGGCAUCUCCAGCAGGCAAGUUGGAGAAGCUAUGAAGGCAUUGCCAGCUUUCAUUACAUCGGCUACAAUUCAUUCUGGAAUGGAGAAGGAACUCCCAGCUCCUGCUGCCUGAGCACCACAAUUGAGACCAUGUUUUCUUCUGCCUCUGUUAUAUAUUUUCAGUGCUGAAAGCAGCCACUCCAGUUUGCUUCUUUGAGAUAGCUUCUAAUAGUGUUUAUCUAAGAAUCAAGACACUCGGUCAAGAUUAGCCUUUGAGUGGUUGCCUGGCCUGGCUCUAACUAGGUAUUUUAGCAAUGUGCAGUCUGAACAUGCCGGGGGGGGGGUGGCGGGGGUCCUGUCUUUAUUCUCUAUAGUUCCACUACACCUUCAACAGAGCAUUAAAUUUGGCAGAAAUAUAAUCAAGAGUGACAACUCAGUGCUGACCACAGCCUCACUGGGUGGGACAUAUGGGAAACUGCAGGAUAUCAAGGUAGCCGGUAAACCACAGUGUAACUAAAGGAGUCCUUUCAAAGAUACAUUGAAGCAAAACAGAGCAAUCAACAGUUUAGGAACUGCUAAGAAUUUGAGUCAGGGACCUGGAUUCAUGUGUGACUUUGCUUCUAUCCCAUGUGGACCAUAGGCAGGGCAUUAAUGUCUCUGGGGUUUUGACUUCUUUAUGUGUGAAAGAAUGAGGCUGGAGUAGGAAACCUUGUUUAUUUAAUGCACAGGUCUUAUCACUGAACUACCUCUGGCUUGAGGACCCCCCUUUUCUUUUAACAUCAAGUUUUGCAACACAGUCCUGGAUGACUUUGAACACAUAAUUCUCUUGCCUCAAUCUCCCAAAUGAUGGCAUUAAAAAGUACGUAGACACAACAUACUUGUGUACACAUGUGCAUGCACACAUACAAGUAAAUAAACAUGUAACUUUAAAAUUAAAAAGAACA